AUUGCCGAACACAUAAUUCAUUUGAGAAUUAAGGUCUUUCCGAAUCGACUUGACUUGCACAGAAAUGUUUGCCACUUGUCAUUACUCAAACAACGGUUCACUCAUAAAUGCAUUACUUAAAAAGUGUGAGGUAAAUGUAUUGUUUGUCUAGUACAUGUAUCUCGGAUCCGUUAAAUUACCCUUAAAAAAAAAAAACAUUACUCCCUCCUUUGCCAAAUACUCCUUGGAGAAGAAAUACCAUUUGAAACAAACAGAACGAAUAGGAAUAUAGUGAUCCCUAAUAUAUCAUUCCUUCUUCUCCUUCAAUCUCUGUACCGUAAUCUCUAUACCGAC
rnacentral:lncRNA from 1 species